GGCGCCUUAGCUCAGUUGGUAGAGCACACGACUGAAAAUCGUGGUGUCCCCGGUUCAAGUCCGGGAGGUGCCA
rnacentral:tRNA from 2 species